rnacentral:rRNA from 1 species
UGACGGCCAUACCAUGCUAAAAACACCGGUUCCCGUCCGAUCACCGCAGUUAAGCAUCAUCGGGCGUGGUCAGUACUUGGGAGGGUAACCACCUGGGAACACCGCAUGCCGUU